AGCGAACGCUGGCGGCAGGCUUAACACAUGCAAGUCGAGCGGGCACUUCGGUGUCAGCGGCAGACGGGUGAGUAACACGUGGGAACGUACCCUUUGGUUCGGAAUAACGCUGGGAAACUAGCGCUAAUACCGGAUACGCCCUUUUGGGGAAAGGCUUGCUGCCGAAGGAUCGGCCCGCGUCUGAUUAGCUAGUUGGUGGGGUAAUGGCCUACCAAGGCGACGAUCAGUAGCUGGUCUGAGAGGAUGAUCAGCCACACUGGGACUGAGACACGGCCCAGACUCCUACGGGAGGCAGCAGUGGGGAAUAUUGGACAAUGGGCGCAAGCAUGAUCCAGCCAUGCCGCGUGAGUGAUGAAGGCCUUAGGGUUGUAAAGCUCUUUUGUCCGGGACGAUAAUGACGGUACCGGAAGAAUAAGCACCGGCUAACUUCGUG
rnacentral:rRNA from 1 species